CAGCAGCCGCGGUAAUACGUAGGGUGCAAGCGUUAAUCGGAAUUACUGGGCGUAAAGCGUGCGCAGGCGGUUUUGUAAGUCUGUCGUGAAAUCCCCGGGCUCAACCUGGGAAUGGCGAUGGAGACUGCAAGGCUAGAAUCUGGCAGAGGGGGGUAGAAUUCCACGUGUAGCAGUGAAAUGCGUAGAUAUGUGGAGGAACACCGAUGGCGAAGGCAGCCCCCUGGGCUAAGAUUGACGCUCAUGCACGAAAGCGUGGGGAGCAAACAGGAUUAGAUACCCGCGUAGUCCCUGUCUCUUAUAC
rnacentral:rRNA from 1 species